CAAAGAGACAAAAGGGAACUUGUCCAUCUCCAGCUGCGUCUCUUCGCCGUUUUUUCCACUCAACUGACCCUUCAGUAUCCGAGCUGCCGUCACCGUGGGGACGCCCAUUCCUGAACACCAAAAGUGGUAGGCAUCAAAUUCACUUUUCAGAAACCUGAACUGCUUUUCUUAGUUUAAAAAGUCUUGAAUUCAGUCAGUAACAGUUCACCAACUUCAAGACAGUGACCUGCCUUUGCAUCAAGAGAUAAGAUAGUCUUAGAGAAACCCAGCUAAAAAUUGUGAAAUAUUCACCUGAUUCUGAUGUUGAUAAACUUGUUUU